GACGAACGCUGGCGGCGUGCCUAAUACAUGCAAGUCGAGCGCAGGAAGCCGUCUGAACCCUUCGGGGGGACGACGGUGGAAUGAGCGGCGGACGGGUGAGUAACACGUAAAGAACCUGCCCAUAGGUCUGGGAUAACCACGAGAAAUCGGGGCUAAUACCGGAUGUGUCAUCGGACCGCAUGGUCCGCUGAUGAAAGGCGCUUCGGCGUCGCCCAUGGAUGGCUUUGCGGUGCAUUAGCUAGUUGGUGGGGUAACGGCCCACCAAGGCGACGAUGCAUAGCCGACCUGAGAGGGUGAUCGGCCACACUGGGACUGAGACACGGCCCAGACUCCUACGGGAGGCAGCAGUAGGGAAUCUUCCACAAUGGACGAAAGUCUGAUGGAGCAACGCCGCGUGAACGAUGAAGGCUUUCGGGUCGUAAAGUUCUGUUGUAAGGGAAGAACAAGUGCCGCAGGCAAUGGCGGCACCUUGACGGUACCUUGCGAGAAAGCCACGGCUAACUACGUGCCAGCAGCCGCCGUAAGAC
rnacentral:rRNA from 1 species